UUUCCACUUGAAAUAUUUUUU
rnacentral:piRNA from 1 species